AUUGAACGCUGGCGGCAGGCCUAACACAUGCAAGUCGAGCGGAUGAAGGGAGCUUGCUCCUGGAUUCAGCGGCGGACGGGUGAGUAAUGCCUAGGAAUCUGCCUGGUAGUGGGGGAUAACGUCCGGAAACGGGCGCUAAUACCGCAUACGUCCUGCGGGAGAAAGUGGGGGAUCUUCGGACCUCACGCUAUCAGAUGAGCCUAGGUCGGAUUAGCUAGUUGGUGGGGUAAAGGCCUACCAAGGCGACGAUCCGUAACUGGUCUGAGAGGAGGAUCAGUCACACUGGAACUGAGACACGGUCCAGACUCCUACGGGAGGCAGCAGUGGGGAAUAUUGGACAGUGGGCGAAAGCCUGAUCCAGCCAUGCCGCGUGUGUGAAGAAGGUCUUCGGAGUGUAAAGCACUUUAAGUUGGGAGGAAGGGCAGUAAGUUAAUACCUUGCUGUUUUGACGUUACCAACAGAGUAAGCACCGGCUAACUUCGUG
rnacentral:rRNA from 1 species